rnacentral:rRNA from 1 species
UCAAUAAGCGGAGGAAAAGAAACUAACAAGGAUUCCCCUAGUAACUGCGAGUGAAGCGGGAAAAGCUCAAAUUUAAAAUCUGGCGGUCUUUGGCCGUCCGAGUUGUAAUCUAGAGAAGUAAUGCCCGUGCUGGACCGUGUAUAAGUCUCCUGGGAUGGGGCGUCAUAGAGGGUGAGAAUCCCGUCUUUGACACGGACUACCAGUGCAUUGUGGUAUGCUCUCAAAGAGUCGAGUUGUUUGGGAAUGCAGCUCAAAAUGGGUGGUAAAUUCCAUCUAAAGCUAAAUAUUGGCGAGAGACCGAUAGCGAACAAGUACCGUGAGGGAAAGAUGAAAAGAACUUUGGAAAGAGAGUUAAACAGUACGUGAAAUUGCUGAAAGGGAAACGCUUGAAGUCAGUCGCGUUGGCCAGGGAUCAGCCUUGCUUUUGCAUGGUGUACUUUCUGGUUGACGGGUCAGCAUCAAUUUUGACCGCUGGAAAAGGGCCUGGGGAAUGUGGCAGCUUCGGCUGUGUUAUAGCCCCUGGUCGCAUACAGUGGUUGGGAUUGAGGAACUCAGCACGCCGCAAGGCCGGGUUUCGACCACGUUCGUGCUUAGGAUGCUGGCAUAAUGGCUUUAAGCGACCCGUCUUGAAACACGGACCAAGGAGUCUAACAUGCCUGCGAGUAUUUGGGUGGAAAACCCGAGUGCGCAAUGAAAGUGAAAGUUGAGAUCCCUGUCGUGGGGAGCAUCGACGCCCGGACCAGAACUUUUGGGACGGAUCCGCGGUGGAGCAUGUAUGUUGGGACCCGAAAGAUGGUGAACUAUGCCUGAAUAGGGUGAAGCCAGAGGAAACUCUGGUGGAGGCUCGUAGCGAUUCUGACGUGCAAAUCGAUCGUCAAAUUUGGGUAUAGGGGCGAAAGACUAAUCGAACCAUCUAGUAGCUG